rnacentral:lncRNA from 1 species
CUCUCCGCCAGACCGCCGCCGCGCCGCCAUCAUGGACACCAGCCGUGUGCAGCCUAUCAAGCUGGCCAGGGUCACCAAGGUCCUGGGCAGGACCGGUUCUCAGGGACAGUGCACGCAGGGUCUUGGAUGUCGGGUUCGACCACUUGGCCGAUGGGAAUGGUCUGUCACAGUCUGCUCCUUUUUUUUGUCCGCCACACGUAACUGAGAUGCUCCUUUAAAUAAAGCGUUUGUGUUUCAAGUU